AUCCAGCCUGCUUUUUCUGCCAUGGCAUCCAUUUUGCCAAUGCUCAUUUCACUGGUUUCCUUCUCUUCAUGUGCCCUCUCACAGCAGGUGGUUCUGACCCAAUCAGAAUCAGUGGUGAAAAAACCUGGAGAAUCCCAUCAACUGACUUGUGCGGUCACUGGAUUCAGUGUUAGCAGCUCCUGGAUGGAGUGGGUCCGGCAGAAACCUGGCAAAGGCUUUGAAUGGCUUGUUCACUACCUUAACUCUGGGAACAGUGCUUAUUCUCCUGCAAUCCAAGGGCGACUCACAGCCUCAAAGGACAGCUCCAGCUUCAGCCUGCAUGUGAACAAUCUGAAAGCAGAAGAUACGGCCGUGUAUUACUGUGCCAGAUAA